AUUCUAAUAAUGAGCAAAGAAGAAUACGCCACAACAUCAAAAAAAUUUUUAUUAACAAACCAGUUAGCUUAAGUUAUAUUGAACCCAACAUGAUCAUAUUAGUUUGGUAGUGGUGAAGUAACACGAUAAGGCAUAGUGGAUCCUAGUGAGGUUAGUUUUUUUAAUGUAUGUUUGAUGAAUACGAUAUCUUACUGAUUGGUGGUUUUGGUGGCUAAAGAUCUGGAGCUACGUCCCCUACAGUUUCCUUACUCUUUUUGGUAAGAAGUGGUUGUUAACCUGGCAGAUUCUUGGGCCACAUAUUGCCUUUGCUGGAAAGAACGUUCCCGAAAAUAUUAUAUCUAGCAUAUAGAGUUCAAAUAUGUAAGUCUCGAAUUGGUUUCUUUUUGUUUAGGCUUUUCUUUUUCUAAUAUAAAAGAUCAAAAGUUUUGGGACACAUAAUUCCACUUCUGUUGGUUCUCUUCCAAAAGAUGUCCCCAGAAGCAUCAUACCAUAAAAUAAUUUCAAACUUUAUUGAUCUUUUAUUCGUCAAUUUAUCUAUUAUUUUCCAUUAAAGAUUACAUGCUUUUAUAGAUCUUCUUUAGGCUUGAUCCAUAUAUCCCUCUAUCUAUUGGUAGGUUUAUCAUGAUAUUAUGUUUUACUUUAAUGGUUCCAUUAAGUGGUACACUAAUAGGGUAUUAGGGUGCUGAUUCAUUUAGUGGGUGUUUUCUUUUGCUCUUUCUUUAAAGCAAAGGAGGGUUUUCAUAAUUAAAGGUUUUAGUUUAUGCGGAUGCAGGAGGACCACGCGUCUACGGCUAGAUUUUAUUUUCACUUUAGAUUGAUUUCCCUUUUUGUUUGUGUUAGAUUAUGUUGUUUGAUACAAUAUAUGGUUUUUUUUCCUUUUAGUGGCCAUGCACAUAGGUUUAGAAGUCUUUUGUUGGGUGCUUUCUUGAGUAGGAGCAACAUAGGACUGAAAUGGAUUUGCAUGAUUGGAAGCUUUUCUUGGAUGGACCCUAAUUGUGUAUGCUGACUGCAGAUUGUGCUGAAAAUUGGCUAGUUUACCUGAUGUAUAUUGUUGUGCGUGUUGGUGGGAUGUGUGCUUCUAUUGCUACUUGUGCGCGAAUGUGUAUCAACAAAAGUUGUAGAUAUGAACGAUGGGAACGUAUAAUAUGGACACAAUUAUAAGCAGAACUGAAUACACUCCGCAAGAAAGAGAGAGGGGGGGGGGGGGGGGGUUGGUGCAGUCCCGAACCUGAUAAACUAUAUUUCCCCCCUCUUAUAAUUCUAGUGUAGUUUAGUUUAAAUUUCAUAUAGAUCUGUAUUUAGAGCCCCUGAUUUCACCUGUAAAUCUUGAUAAUUUAACAACUCUGGCGGCACCUGUAAAUCUUGAUGAUUUCACCUAUGGGUUUCUAUGUUUUGUUCCGAGUUUAA